rnacentral:rRNA from 1 species
UUUAAAUGUAAAUUUAUAAGCUUAAUUAUUAAUAGUUAUGUUCUUUAAAGUUAAAGAAUUUGGCGGUAUUUUAGUCUUUUUAGAGGAACCUGUUCUGUAAUUGAUAGUCCACGUUUUAUUUUACUUACUUUAUUAGUUUAUAUAUCGUCGUAGUUUGAAUAUUUUAUAAGAAUAAAAAUGUUCAUGAUUCUUUAUUAGGAAAAAAAUCAGAUCAAGGUGUAGCUUAUAAGUAAGAAGAAAUGGGUUACAAUAAAUUUAUUUAAAUGGUUAAAAGCUUGAAAAGUUUUUAUUAAAGUGGAUUUAAAAGUAAUGAAGUUAAAUUUAAUUUCAUGAUUUUAGCUCUGAAAUAUGU